GAUGAACGCUAGCUACAGGCUUAACACAUGCAAGUCGAGGGGCAGCAUGAACAUAGCUUGCUAUGUUUGAUGGCGACCGGCGCACGGGUGCGUAACACGUAUCCAAUCUGCCCGUCACUCGGGGAUAGCCUUCUGAAAGGAAGAUUAAUACCCGAUGGGAUGCAUUUCCGGCAUCGGAGAUGCAUUAAAGAUUUUAUCGGUGACGGAUGAGGAUGCGUACGAUUAGCUGGUUGGCGGGGUAACGGCCCACCAAGGCUACGAUCGUUAGGGGUUCUGAGAGGAAGGUCCCCCACACUGGAACUGAGACACGGUCCAG
rnacentral:rRNA from 1 species